UGGGCUUGACAUGUCCGAAAUUCUGCAGAGAUGCGGAAGUGCCCUUCGGGGAAUCGGAACAC
rnacentral:rRNA from 1 species